rnacentral:rRNA from 1 species
AGUGAACGCUGGCGGUAGGCCUAACACAUGCAAGUCGAACGGCAGCACAGGAGAGCUUGCUCUCUGGGUGGCGAGUGGCGGACGGGUGAGGAAUACAUCGGAAUCUACCUUUUCGUGGGGGAUAACGUAGGGAAACUUACGCUAAUACCGCAUACGACCUUCGGGUGAAAGCAGGGGACCUUCGGGCCUUGCGCGGAUAGAUGAGCCGAUGUCGGAUUAGCUAGUUGGCGGGGUAAAGGCCCACCAAGGCGACGAUCCGUAGCUGGUCUGAGAAGAUGAUCAGCCACACUGGAACUGAGACACGGUCCAGACUCCUACGGGAGGCAGCAGUGGGGAAUAUUGGACAAUGGGCGCAAGCCUGAUCCAGCCAUACCGCGUGGGUGAAGAAGGCCUUCGGGUUGUAAAGCCCUUUUGUUGGGAAAGAAAAGCAGCCAGUUAAUACCUGGUUGUUCUGACGGUACCCAAAGAAUAAGCACCGGCUAACUUCGUGCCAGCCGCCGCCGUAAGAC